ACUCUCGUUGCUUUGGCGGGCCGCCGGCCCCGGCUGGCGCGUGCCCGCCAGAGACCUCACAGACUCUGAAUGUUAGUGUCGUCCGAGUAACUAUACAAUCGUUAAAACUUUCAACAACGGAUCUCUUGGUUCUGGCAUCGAUGAAGAACGCAGCGAAAUGCGAUAAGUAAUGCGAAUUGCAGAAUUCAGUGAGUCAUCGAAUCUUUGAACGCACAUUGCGCCCUGUGGUAUUCCGCAGGGCAUGCCUGUUCGAGCGUCAUUUCAACCCUCAAGCCUCGCUUGGUGUUGGGCCCUGCCCGCCGCGGCCGGCCCUAAAGAUAGUGGCGGCGCCGCCUGGCCCUCAGCGUAGUACAGCUCUCGCUCCAGGGUCCGGCGGCAGCCUGCCAGAACCCCCCAACUCUGUGGUUGACCUCGGAUCAGGUAGGGAUACCCGCU
rnacentral:rRNA from 1 species